UACGAAGGGGGCUAGCGUUGCUCGGAAUCACUGGGCGUAAAGGGUGCGUAGGCGGGUUUUUAAGUCAGGGGUGAAAUCCUGGAGCUCAACUCCAGAACUGCCUUUGAUACUGAAGAUCUUGAGUCCGGGAGAGGUGAGUGGAACUGCGAGUGUAGAGGUGAAAUUCGUAGAUAUUCGCAAGAACACCCGUGGCGAAGGCGGUUCUCUGGGACGGUACUGACGCUGAGACGCGAAAGCGUGGGGAGCGAACAGG
rnacentral:rRNA from 1 species